rnacentral:rRNA from 1 species
UACGUAGGGGGCAAGCGUUGUCCGGAAUCAUUGGGCGUAAAGAGCGUGUAGGCGGCCCGGUAAGUCUGUUGUGAAAGUCAAAGGCUCAACCUUUGAAAGCCGAUGGAUACUGUGAGGCUAGAGUCCGGAAGAGGCGAGUGGAAUUCCUGGUGUAGCGGUGGAAUGCGCAGAUAUCAGGAGGAACACCAAUAGCGAAGGCAGCUCGCUGGGACGGUACUGACGCUAAGGCGCGAAAGCGUGGGGAGCGAACAGG